CUAAUCUGCGAUAAGCGCCGGUAAGGUGAUAUGAACCGUUAUAACCGGCGAUUUCCGAAUGGGGAAACCCAGUGUGACUCGUCACACUAUCAUUAACUGAAUCCAUAGGUUAAUGAGGCGAACCGGGGGAACUGAAACAUCUAAGUACCCCGAGGAAAAGAAAUCAACCGAGAUUCCCCCAGUAGCGGCGAGCGAACGGGGAGGAGCCCAGAGCCUGAAUCAGCAUGUGUGUUAGUGGAAGCGUCUGGAAAGGCGCGCGAUACAGGGUGACAGCCCCGUACACAAAAGCGCAUGUGCUGUGAGCUCGAUGAGUAGGGCGGGACACGUGGUAUCCUGUCUGAAUAUGGGGGGACCAUCCUCCAAGGCUAAAUACUCCUGACUGACCGAUAGUGAACCAGUACCGUGAGGGAAAGGCGAAAAGAACCCCGGCGAGGGGAGUGAAAAAGAACCUGAAACCGUGUACGUACAAGCAGUGGGAGCCCCACCACUAAGCCAGUGGUGAACUCCACAUACGCAUCCUUUGCUGAGGAUAC
rnacentral:rRNA from 1 species